rnacentral:rRNA from 4 species
UUGGACCUGAUAUCAGGCAAGAUUACCCGCUGAACUUAAGCAUAUCAAUAAGCGGAGGAAA